UACGUAGGGUGCGAGCGUUGUCCGGAAUUAUUGGGCGUAAAGAGCUUGUAGGCGGUUUGUCGCGUCUGCUGUGAAAAUCCGGGGCUCAACCCCGGACUUGCAGUGGGUACGGGCAGACUAGCGUGUGGUAGGGGAGACUGGAAUUCCUGGUGUAGCGGUGAAAUGCGCAGAUAUCAGGAGGAACACCGAUGGCGAAGGCAGGUCUCUGGGCCACUACUGACGCUGAGAAGCGAAAGCAUGGGGAGCGAACAGG
rnacentral:rRNA from 1 species